rnacentral:lncRNA from 1 species
GGGGUUUCAGUUUCGUUUGGGUUUGGGCACCGAUGGUCGCCAUCGGAUUUGUGUUUCUUUGGGCGGUGGGUCGUUGCCCUCCUGCUAAUGGCCGCCCCCAUGCCGACUGCACCGUCGGUCGGCCAACCAACAAAGGGAUUUGAGAUCCCCUGUUUCAAAAGGCAAGCCGCGGGAAGAAAAAAAUAGAAAAAAAUAGAAAAAAAUAGAAAA